rnacentral:rRNA from 1 species
UCCUACGGGAGGCAGCAGUGGGGAAUAUUGCACAAUGGGGGAAACCCUGAUGCAGCGACGCCGCGUGAGUGAAGAAGUAUUUCGGUAUGUAAAGCUCUAUCAGCAGGGAAGAAGAAAGACGGUACCUGACUAAGAAGCCCCGGCUAACUACGUGCCAGCAGCCGCGGUAAUACGUAGGGGGCAAGCGUUAUCCGGAUUUACUGGGUGUAAAGGGAGCGUAGACGGAGCAGCGAGUCUGAAGUGAAAGCCCGUGGCUUAACCACGGGACUGCUUUGGAAACUGUUUGACUAG